AAUCCAUAGGUUAAUGAGGCGAACCGGGGGAACUGAAACAUCUAAGUACCCCGAGGAAAAGAAAUCAACCGAGAUUCCCCCAGUAGCGGCGAGCGAACGGGGAGGAGCCCAGAGCCUGAAUCAGCAUGUGUGUUAGUGGAAGCGUCUGGAAAGGCGCGCGAUACAGGGUGACAGCCCCGUACACAAAAGCGCAUGUGCUGUGAGCUCGAUGAGUAGGGCGGGACACGUGGUAUCCUGUCUGAAUAUGGGGGGACCAUCCUCCAAGGCUAAAUACUCCUGACUGACCGAUAGUGAACCAGUACCGUGAGGGAAAGGCGAAAAGAACCCCGGCGAGGGGAGUGAAAAAGAACCUGAAACCGUGUACGUACAAGCAGUGGGAGCACCCUUUGGGUGUGACUGCGUACCUUUUGUAUAAUGGGUCAGCGACUUAUAUUCUGUAGCAAGGUUAACCGAAUAGGGGAGCCGGAGGGAAACCGAGUCUUAACCGGGCGUUAAGUUGCAGGGUAUAGACCCGAAACCCGGUGAUCUAGCCAUGGGCAGGUUGAAGGUUGGGUAACACUAACUGGAGGACCGAACCGACUAAUGUUGAAAAAUUAGCGGAUGACCUGUGGCUGGGGGUGAAAGGCCAAUCAAACCGGGAGAUAGCUGGUUCUCCCCGAAAGCUAUUUAGGUAGCGCCUCGUGAAUUCAUCUCCGGGGGUAGAGCACUGUUUCGGCUAGGGGGCCAUCCCGGCUUACCAACCCGAUGCAAACUGCGAAUACCGGAGAAUGUUAUCACGGGAGACACACGGCGGGUGCUAACGUCCGUCGUGAAGAGGGAAACAACCCAGACCGCCAGCUAAGGUCCCAAAGUCAUGGUUAAGUGGGAAACGAUGUGGGAAGGCCCAGACAGCCAGGAUGUUGGCUUAGAAGCAGCCAUCAUUUAAAGAAAGCGUAAUAGCUCACUGGUCGAGUCGGCCUGCGCGGAAGAUGUAACGGGGCUAAACCAUGCACCGAAGCUGCGGCAGCGACACUGUGUGUUGUUGGGUAGGGGAGCGUUCUGUAAGCCUGUGAAGGUGUGUCGUGAGGCAUGCUGGAGGUAUCAGAAGUGCGAAUGCUGACAUAAGUAACGAUAAAGCGGGUGAAAAGCCCGCUCGCCGGAAGACCAAGGGUUCCUGUCCAACGUUAAUCGGGGCAGGGUGAGUCGACCCCUAAGGCGAGGCCGAAAGGCGUAGUCGAUGGGAAACGGGUUAAUAUUCCCGUACUUGGUGUUACUGCGAAGGGGGGACGGAGAAGGCUAUGUUGGCCGGGCGACGGUUGUCCCGGUUUAAGCGUGUAGGUGUGUGUUCCAGGUAAAUCCGGUUCACUUUAACACUGAGGCGUGACGACGAGGCACUACGGUGCUGAAGCAACAAAUGCCCUGCUUCCAGGAAAAGCCUCUAAGCAUCAGGUAACAUCAAAUCGUACCCCAAACCGACACAGGUGGUCAGGUAGAGAAUACCAAGGCGCUUGAGAGAACUCGGGUGAAGGAACUAGGCAAAAUGGUGCCGUAACUUCGGGAGAAGGCACGCUGACACGUAGGUGAAGUGAUUUACUCAUGGAGCUGAAGUCAGUCGAAGAUACCAGCUGGCUGCAACUGUUUAUUAAAAACACAGCACUGUGCAAACACGAAAGUGGACGUAUACGGUGUGACGCCUGCCCGGUGCCGGAAGGUUAAUUGAUGGGGUCAGCGCAAGCGAAGCUCCUGAUCGAAGCCCCGGUAAACGGCGGCCGUAACUAUAACGGUCCUAAGGUAGCGAAAUUCCUUGUCGGGUAAGUUCCGACCUGCACGAAUGGCGUAAUGAUGGCCAGGCUGUCUCCACCCGAGACUCAGUGAAAUUGAACUCGCUGUGAAGAUGCAGUGUACCCGCGGCAAGACGGAAAGACCCCGUGAACCUUUACUAUAGCUUGACACUGAACAUUGAGCCUUGAUGUGUAGGAUAGGUGGGAGGCUUUGAAGUGUGGACGCCAGUCUGCAUGGAGCCGACCUUGAAAUACCACCCUUUAAUGUUUGAUGUUCUAACGUGGACCCGUUACCCGGGUUGCGGACAGUGUCUGGUGGGUAGUUUGACUGGGGCGGUCUCCUCCUAAAGAGUAACGGAGGAGCACGAAGGUUGGCUAAUCCUGGUCGGACAUCAGGAGGUUAGUGCAAUGGCAUAAGCCAGCUUGACUGCGAGCGUGACGGCGCGAGCAGGUGCGAAAGCAGGUCAUAGUGAUCCGGUGGUUCUGAAUGGAAGGGCCAUCGCUCAACGGAUAAAAGGUACUCCGGGGAUAACAGGCUGAUACCGCCCAAGAGUUCAUAUCGACGGCGGUGUUUGGCACCUCGAUGUCGGCUCAUCACAUCCUGGGGCUGAAGUAGGUCCCAAGGGUAUGGCUGUUCGCCAUUUAAAGUGGUACGCGAGCUGGGUUUAGAACGUCGUGAGACAGUUCGGUCCCUAUCUGCCGUGGGCGCUGGAGAACUGAGGGGGGCUGCUCCUAGUACGAGAGGACCGGAGUGGACGCAUCACUGGUGUUCGGGUUGUCAUGCCAAUGGCACUGCCCGGUAGCUAAAUGCGGAAGAGAUAAGUGCUGAAAGCAUCUAAGCACGAAACUUGCCCCGAGAUGAGUUCUCCCUGAGACUUAGAGUCUCCUGAAGGAA
rnacentral:rRNA from 1 species